rnacentral:rRNA from 1 species
GACGGAGGAUGCAAGCGUUAUCCGGAAUGAUUGGGCGUAAAGCGUCCGCAGGUGGCAGUUCAAGUCUGCUGUCAAAGACCGGGGCUUAACUUCGGAAAGGCAGUGGAAACUGAACAGCUAGAGUAUGGUAGGGGCAGAGGGAAUUCUCGGUGUAGCGGUGAAAUGCGUAGAUAUCGAGAGGAACACCUGCGGCGAAGGCGGGUUGCUGGGCUGACACGUGACGCUGAUGCGCGAAAGCCAGGGGAGCGAACGGG